AUUCCAGCUCCAAUAGCGUAUAUUAAAGUUGUUGCAGUUAAAAAGCUCGUAGUUGGAUUUCUGGGGGGCGCGUUGGGUCCGCCCGGCAACGGGUGCGCACUUUUGACGUCCGUCUCCCAUCCUCGCGAAGAGCGGCCUCGGCAUUAACUUGUCGCGGGCCGGGACUCGCGUCGUUUACUGUGAACAAAUUAGAGUGUUUAAAGCAGGCGUUUGCUGUGAAUACAUUAGCAUGGAAUAAUAAUCUAGGACUUCGGUUCUAUUUUGUUGGUUUCUAGUACUGAAGUAAUGAUUGAUAGGGAUAGUUGGGGGUGCUAGUAUUGGCCGGCCAGAGGUGAAAUUCUUGGAUUCGAUCAAGACUAACUUAUGCGAAAGCAUUCACCAAGGAUGUCUUCAUCG
rnacentral:rRNA from 1 species